GAUGAAGAACGAAGCGAAAUGCGAUACGUAGUGUGAAUUGCAGAAUUCAGUGAAUCAUCGAAUCUUUGAACGCACAUUGCGCCCUUUGGUAUUCCAAAGGGCAUGCCUGUUCGAGCGUCAUUUGUACCCUCAAGCUUUGCUUGGUGUUGGGCGUCUUGUCUCCAGUCCGCUGGAGACUCGCCUUAAAGUCAUUGGCAGCCGGCCUACUGGUUUCGGAGCGCAGCACAAGUCGCACUCUUUUCCAGCCAAGGUCAGUGUCCAACAAGCCUUUUUUCAACUUUUGACCUCGGAUCAGGUAGGGAUACCCGCUGAACUUAAGCAUAUCAAUAAGCGGAGGG
rnacentral:misc_RNA from 1 species